rnacentral:rRNA from 1 species
GACGUAGGGCGCGAGCGUUGUCCGGAUUUAUUUGGGCGUAAAGAGCUCGUAGGCGGCUUGUCGCGUCGUCUGUGAAAUCCCGCGGCUCAACCGCGGGUCUGCAGUCGAUACGGGCAGGCUAGAGUUCGGUAGGGGAGACUGGGAAUUCCUGGUGUAGCGGUGAAAUGCGCAGAUAUCGAGGAGGAACACCGGUGGGCGAAGGCGGGUCUCCUGGGCCGAAUACUGACGCUGGAGGAGCGAAAGCCGUUGGGGAGCGAACAGG